UACAGAGGGGCAAGCGGUUGUCGGAAUUACUGGGCGUAAAGGGCGCGGAGGCGGCCUUCUAAGUCGAACGUGAAAUCCCCGGGCUCAACCCGGGAACUGCGUCCGAUACUGGAAGGCUUGAAUCCGGGAGAGGGAUGCGGAAUUCCAGGUGUAGCGGUGAAAUGCGUAGAUAUCUGGAGGAACACCGGUGGCGAAGGCGGCAUCCUGGACCGGCAUUGACGCUGAGGCGCGAAAGCCAGGGGAGCAAACGGG
rnacentral:rRNA from 1 species